GGCACGGGUAGCCCCGGGAGGCACCCCCGGCAGCCGGCCCGGGGGAGCACAGCCCGCUGCGGGUGCCAGGAGCACCUGCAUCUGAGCCCCAGCCCGCUGGGGGUGGUGGUGCCCCGUUUUGCGGGCGAGGAAAGAGAGGAGCAAGGAGGAAUUAACGCAUGAAGACCUUCUGUCUCUGCAGCGCCUGAACAGGCGUUGAGUACCACAGAAAGAGUCUGGUCUGACAGAAAGAUAACCGAGCAUGCAAGCUUCCAUCCAGGCAUCUUUCCUGUCAGGCAAAGCAUCCCUCUGAAACAGUCUUUCACUUUGAAAAAAAAUGUCAGAUCCAAUUUUUUCAUCGACUUAGCUGGACACUGGGUUCUCGUCUGGUUGACUCACAGGAAAGAAAUCACUCCCACAGAAGUCCUCUAUAGCCAUGUAAUUACUUCUGCGUCAGUGGCCUGGUGAACGGACGUGGAAUGUGACUCACCAGCAUGGGAGAGGAAACAAAAUACAAUGCCUGGGAGUCAAAGUAAGCCCUCUCCAGUCCGCAAGGGUAUAUACAAAGCUUCUGUGCAUGUAUUGCCAUGCUAUGCAUGUAUUGCAAGAACACCAUUAUACUUACUUACACUGCAUUCUUAGGUCAUCAACUAUUAUGCACUCCAUGUACAUUAAAAGAAUUAAAAUGUAUUCAAGUCUUGGUCUGCA